CCAUACCCACACCAUGAAGACCAAAAUUAUGGACAGGAGUGGCAUGGUUAGUAGGCUGCCAACACCACCUCCUGUUCCGACUGAGGUUGAUAUUGAACCCCUGGUUCUGCACGAUCUCCAAGGAAAUCGGCGCAUCAAAGGGAGCAUGUUACUUCUAACUCAAGCCUAACAACGUCCACAACAGACAGCAGUUUGUCAUCUCCUGGGCCAUCAGCAACCGGGGCGAGAUUGGUGACACCUUCAACCUCUUCAUACAGCCCAAUGCCAGAUUUCCCUAGUACACCAGCCCGACCGAAAACUAGUUUUCCAUCAAGAACAACAGGUUCAUAGACAUCUGUUGGUACCAGCAGAGAGGCUGUCCAAAUAAUCGAGCCAUCGAAACCAACACAGCGACCACGAUGGAAAACAACAGACUGCUUAACCAGUUGUUGUUAAUGAUGUCAGCGCCAGUACAAUCAACAUCUGAGCAACCGUCCUUAGACCUGCCUCUUGACAAUAUUCAAGACCUUGAUGAGGCAAACACUUCUUUGUCGGAUGCUACUCUAUUCAGGAGUGUGGUCUCACAACUUGGUGUCAUCGGGGGUAUGAGCGCUGCAGACACGGUGAGACGCGUCCUGUCGGCGGCCAUAACAAACAAGCUUGCAAAACAAAUAAAUUGGAAAGGGACAUCCGGGAAGAGGGCCUUUAAAGAAAUGCCACUUAAGGAUGUUAUCAUUAGUAAGUACAGCUUCAAUCUUAAUUCGCCUCAACAUAUUUCUUGAUAAUUGCUAAGACAUGAAACUGUCUUGAAAACAACUUGAAACAACGUGACAUUCAUUUUAGUCUUUCAGUGUAAAACGUCGCAAUCCUUGUACAUUUACCAGCAUAAAUGUGCAUGGAACUGUUUGUGUGGAGUAAUUAACACCUUUAUGUCACGAAUCAGUGUUAUAGAUUUCAGUAGCUUGUAUCAUGUCAACUAUGUUGAAGAAGCCACCCGA